rnacentral:rRNA from 1 species
UACCAGCACCCCGAGUGGUCGGGACGUUUAUUGGGCAUAAAGCAUCCGUAGCCGGUUCUACAAGUCUUCCGUUAAAUCCACCUGCUUAACAGAUGGGCUGCGGAAGAUACUAUAGAGCUAGGAGGCGGGAGAGGCAAGCGGUACUCGAUGGGUAGGGGUAAAAUCCGUUGAUCCAUUGAAGACCACCAGUGGCGAAGGCGGCUUGCCAGAACGCGCUCGACGGUGAGGGAUGAAAGCUGGGGGAGCAAACCGG